rnacentral:rRNA from 1 species
UACGUAGGGGGCAAGCGUUGUCCGGAUUUAUUGGGCGUAAAGAGCGUGUAGGCGGCCAGACAGGUCAGCUGUGAAAACUCGAGGCUCAACCUCGAGACGUCGGUUGAAACCGUCUGGCUAGAGUCCGGAAGAGGAGAGUGGAAUUCCCGGUGUAGCGGUGAAAUGCGCAGAUAUCAGGAGGAACACCGGUGGCGAAGGCGGGUCUCUGGGCCGAUAUUGACGCUGGAGGAGCGAAAGCGUGGGGAGCGAACAGG